rnacentral:rRNA from 1 species
CUCAGGACGAACGCUGGCGGCGUGCCUAAUACAUGCAAGUCGAGCGGACAGAUGGGAGCUUGCUCCCUGAAGUCAGCGGCGGACGGGUGAGUAACACGUGGGCAACCUGCCUGUAAGACUGGGAUAACUCCGGGAAACCGGGGCUAAUACCGGAUAACUCUUUUCCUCACAUGAGGAAAAGCUGAAAGAUGGUUUCGGCUAUCACUUACAGAUGGGCCCGCGGCGCAUUAGCUAGUUGGUGAGGUAACGGCUCACCAAGGCCACGAUGCGUAGCCGACCUGAGAGGGUGAUCGGCCACACUGGGACUGAGACACGGCCCAGACUCCUACGGGAGGCAGCAGUAGGGAAUCUUCCGCAAUGGACGAAAGUCUGACGGAGCAACGCCGCGUGAGUGAUGAAGGUUUUCGGAUCGUAAAACUCUGUUGUCAGGGAAGAACAAGUACCGGAGUAACUGCCGGUACCUUGACGGUACCUGACCAGAAAGCCACGGCUAACUACGUGCCAGCAGCCGCGGUAAUACGUAGGUGGCAAGCGUUGUCCGGAAUUAUUGGGCGUAAAGCGCGCGCAGGCGGUUCCUUAAGUCUGAUGUGAAAGCCCCCGGCUCAACCGGGGAGGGUCAUUGGAAACU